rnacentral:rRNA from 1 species
GAUAAGCCAUGCAUGUCUAAGUAUAAGCAAUCUAUACUGUGAAACUGCGAAUGGCUCAUUAAAUCAGUUAUCGUUUAUUUGAUAGUACCUUACUACUUGGAUAACCGUGGUAAUUCUAGAGCUAAUACAUGCUAAAAACCCCGACUUCGGAAGGGGUGUAUUUAUUAGAUAAAAAACCAAUGCCCUUCGGGGCUCCUUGGUGAUUCAUGAUAACUUAACGAAUCGCAUGGCCUUGCGCCGGCGAUGGUUCAUUCAAAUUUCUGCCCUAUCAACUUUCGAUGGUAGGAUAGUGGCCUACCAUGGUAUCAACGGGUAACGGGGAAUUAGGGUUCUAUUCCGGAGAGGGAGCCUGAGAAACGGCUACCACAUCCAAGGAAGGCAGCAGGCGCGCAAAUUACCCAAUCCCGACACGGGGAGGUAGUGACAAUAAAUACUGAUACAGGGCUCUUUUGGGUCUUGUAAUUGGAAUGAGUACAAUUUAAAUACCUUAACGAGGAACAAUUGGAGGGCAAGUCUGGUGCCAGCAGCCGCGGUAAUUCCAGCUCCAAUAGCGUAUAUUAAAGUUGUUGCAGUUAAAAAGCUCGUAGUUGAACCUUGGGCCUGGCUGGCCGGUCCGCCUCACCGCGUGUACUGGUCCGGCCGGGCCUUUCCUUCUGGGGAUCCUCAUGCCCUUCACUGGGUGUGCUGGGGAACCAGGACUUUUACUUUGAAAAAAUUAGAGUGUUCAAAGCAGGCCUUUGCUCGAAUACAUUAGCAUGGAAUAAUAGAAUAGGACGUGCGGUCCUAUUUUGUUGGUUUCUAGGACCGCCGUAAUGAUUAAUAGGGAUAGUCGGGGGCAUCAGUAUUCAAUUGUCAGAGGUGAAAUUCUUGGAUUUAUUGAAGACUAACUACUGCGAAAGCAUUUGCCAAGGAUGUUUUCAUUAAUCAGUGAACGAAAGUUAGGGGAUCGAAGACGAUCAGAUACCGUCGUAGUCUUAACCGUAAACUAUGCCGACUAGGGAUCGGGCGAUGUUAUUCUUUUGACUCGCUCGGCACCUUACGAGAAAUCAAAGUCUUUGGGUCUGGGGGGGAGUAUGGUCGCAAGCUGAACUAG